GCCUAUUCAUCUCAACUCCCGAUUCCAUUCUCCCCAAGUCCAUCAUAACCCUAGCCGCCAUGCACCAUGAACGAGAUCAUUUCAACAAAUCAGGCCGUCGAACAGCCAUCGAUCUCCCAUCCUCUCCGGCUACCCCAUGCCUCGACCCUCCUAAUGUUCUGUUGGUGUCGCUGCUCGACAACCAUACUAGGCGGCGGCCACGCGCUGGAGGCGGUGGCGGGGGAGGGAUGGGACACAGAGAAGCGGCCGGGCAGCGAAGCAGAGCACCGGGGAAAGGCGGACCAAGCGAAAUCCAGGUACGAGUUGUGUUUUCCCCUUUUAGAUUGAUGUCUCCAAGUUCAUCUUCUGCAACCGCGCGGUAGAUACAGGCGAAAUUUGUCCUGCAUGGCAAGUUGUUCAGCCAUCAGGCUGCUCUUAGCCUCUCUCACCAGUCUCGUAGAUCGCAUGUAAGUAACGCCCUCUCCCUGUCUCUUGUUUUCGGUCAGAUCGGAUGCUAGUUUUGAUCUGAAAAGAUGAAAUAAUGUGUAACAUAUCGCAACCACGAAUGAUUUAUCUUGUGACCGCUGGUUGUUACUUGGAGCAAUUGUCUUUCAGUGUUGGAUAGUGUUUUUCGUUGCAGUUCUAGUAUUUUAGUUGGAUUUAAUAACAGAGUAUUACUUGUUUUCAUUGGUAGCAGAUUAAUCAUGAAGCCCACUGUUAACAAGGCACUUCUCCGUGCCCCAUCACAAUAAUAUCUCGCACUUUGAAACUGAAAACUACCAUGCAGUAAGUGUUGUCCAUUGGUUAGUUCUGUGGCAACCACUUCUUACCUUUGUACUGGUGAUUGCACUCUUUAUUCUUCACGGGUUAACAUACUCUUCUUUGUAUUCAGCUACAUGCAGUGGUAACUAGUAAGGUCAUAUGUUUUCUAAUUCGCUGAUCAGCCCAUCUGCAGAAGUAAAGGGGAGCUUUCCUAAUCUCUGUUUUUAUUUUGCUGAUUUACAAUAUAACAUCAGCACAUCACAGUGCGUGCAACUGGUACUUCGCACUUACAAAGGGCAACUUAGUUUUUGAUACUGCAUGUCCACUCGGAUGGUCAGUCUGACAAUAUAUAUGACUUGUAGUGAGUGAUAAUAUCUAUGUUCAAACUUUAGAACUCUAAUGAUUUUGUAGAACUUGUUGUGGAGCUGGAGCGGUAGAUCUGAUCACGGUAGGAGCUUCAUUAAACCUGAAAUUACAUGAUUUGCUUUGGAAAACCUACAACUGAAGGAGGACCUUCAAAGAUUUUACCCGUGAUAUCCAAUCACUUAAACUGAUGCUAAUAUGUUUCGUAGCUUGAUGACUUGAACUUUGUAGGUUGCAGUCAUUUGUUAAUGAAGAAGAGAAAGAAAUAGUCACUUGUUGAACAAGAAGAGCUGGAAACGAUGCAUCAGCAUAUUAUUGUUUUACAAGAUCAGACAUGCACUAAAGUAUUCUUGAAUAGCCUAUCAAACAGAGACAAGGACGUUGCUCUUGCUACAAUUGUAAGCUGUGGUCCAAAACAUAAACUUGGUGCUGAAAUUACAAACCAGGUAUGGCUGUACAUGUCAAUGCCACACUUGUCAAAAUUGAAGAUUUGGUACCGAAGCAAAAUUUUCACUGAAGGAACUAAAAUUGCAUGGCCAUCAACCUUUAUUCAAAAGAUAAAUGGAUGAUGAUAUGGGUGACAACAAGUUGAAUGGAAGGAGAACAAUGUUGUUGUUGUUGUUGGAUAAUCUACUCUGGAUCUCUGCAUCUUUAGUUAUCUCGUAGGAGGGAAUUGAUGUUGUAAACAUAA